rnacentral:rRNA from 1 species
GGUACAGGUCUUCGGAUGCUGACGAGUGGCGAACGGGUGAGUAAUACAUCGGAACGUGCCCGAGAGUGGGGGAUAACGAAGCGAAAGCUUUGCUAAUACCGCAUACGAUCUCAGGAUGAAAGCAGGGGACCGCAAGGCCUUGCGCUCACGGAGCGGCCGAUGGCAGAUUAGGUAGUUGGUGGGAUAAAAGCUUACCAAGCCGACGAUCUGUAGCUGGUCUGAGAGGACGACCAGCCACACUGGGACUGAGACACGGCCCAGACUCCUACGGGAGGCAGCAGUGGGGAAUAUUGCACAAUGGGCGCAAGCCUGAUGCAGCGACGCCGCGUGAGGGAUGACGGCUUCGGGUUGUAAACUGCUUUUGUACGGAACGAAACGGUCCUGGUUAAUACCUGGGGCUAAUGACGGUACCGUAAGAAUAAGCACCGGCUAACUACGUGCCAGCAGCCGCGGUAAUAA